rnacentral:rRNA from 1 species
AACGAACGCUGGCGGCAUGCCUAACACAUGCAAGUCGAACGAGACCUUCGGGUCUAGGGGCGCACGGGUGCGUAACGCGGGGGAACCUGCCCUUAGGUUCGGAAUAACUCCCCGAAAGGGGUGCUAAUACCGGAUAAUGUCUUCGGACCAAAGAUUUAUCGCCUUUGGAUGGGCCCGCGUUGGAUUAGCUAGUUGGUAGGGUAAAAGCCUACCAAGGCGACGAUCCAUAGCUGGUCUGAGAGGAUGAUCAGCCACACUGGGACUGAGACACGGCCCAGACUCCUACGGGAGGCAGCAGUGGGGAAUAUUGGACAAUGGGCGAAAGCCUGAUCCAGCAAUGCCGCGUGAGUGAUGAAGGCCUUAGGGUUGUAAAGCUCUUUUACCCGGGAUGAUAAUGACAGUACCGGGAGAAUAAGCUCCGGCUAACUCCGUG